CAAGAGAAAAGAACGGACAGAGGGAGCUGAGGCUACAGAGGAUCCCCUGUAGGAAGAACUACCAUCCCAAGGAGCUCUAGAAAUGGUACCCUGCUCAGAAGUAAGGCAUGACUGACUGUCAGCACCCCUGAGGGGCAAGGCCAGGCCAGCUCAGAUCAUCCAGAGUGCUCAGUCCCACUGAGUCAAGCAGCUAGAACUCCAUAAGGACUAUGCCCUGGGGAUCCUCCUUACAGAAGAGCCACACACACAAGUCACCACACGUUUGACAGAAACCAACUGGGUGACUACAUCCACAGAAAUAAGAAUACAUUUGAAAUUUGAAUUAAGAUUAAUAUCUUCAAAGGGAUCUGAGACGACAGACUAUUAUAAAGAAAGUUAAGUGUUCUGCAAAUUAAAGAGAUGCCUAAAAAAAAAAAA